rnacentral:rRNA from 1 species
GAUGAACGCUGGCGGCGUGCCUAAUACAUGCAAGUAGAACGCUGAAGGAGGAGCUUGCUCUUCUGGAUGAGUUGCGAACGGGUGAGUAACGCGUAGGUAACCUGCCUGGUAGCGGGGGAUAACUAUUGGAAACGAUAGCUAAUACCGCAUGACAACAGUUAUUGCAUGAUAACUGUUUAAAAGGGGCAACUGCUCCACUACCAGAUGGACCUGCGGUGUAUUAGCUAGUUGGUGAGGUAACGGCUCACCAAGGCGACGAUACAUAGCCGACCUGAGAGGGGGAGCAGCCACACUGGGAGUGAGACACGGCCCAGUGUCCUACGGGAGGGAGCAGGAGGGAAUCGUCGGCAAUGGACGGAAGUCUGACCGAGCAACGCCGCGUGAGUGAAGAAGGUUUUCGGAUCGUAAAGCUCUGUUGUAAGAGAAGAACGAGUGUGAGAGUGGAAAGUUCACACUGUGACGGUAUCUUACCAGAAAGGGACGGCUAACUACGUG